UGAGGAAUUUUCCGCAAUGGGCGAAAGCCUGACGGAGCAAUACCGCGUGAGGGAGGAAGGCCCUUGGGUUGUAAACCUCUUUUCUCAGGGAAGAAGCGAUGACGGUACCUGAGGAAUAAGCAUCGGCUAACUCCGUGCCAGCAGCCGCGGUAAUACGGAGGGGGCAAGCGUUGUUCGGAUUUACUGGGCGUAAAGGGCGCGUAGGCGGACGGUCAAGUCAGAGGUGAAAGGCCCGGGCUCAACCUGGGACGUGCCUUUGAAACUGAUUGUCUUGAGUGCGGAAGAGGGUGACGGAAUUCCCAGUGUAGAGGUGAAAUUCGUAGAUAUUGGGAAGAACACCGGUGGCGAAGGCGGUCACCUGGUCCGCAACUGACGCUGAGGCGCGAAAGCGUGGGGAGCAAACAGGAUUAGAUACCCCCGUAGUCC
rnacentral:rRNA from 1 species